rnacentral:rRNA from 1 species
GAGCGAACGGACGAGAAGCUUGCUUCUCUGAUGUUAGCGGCGGACGGGUGAGUAACACGUGGAUAACCUACCUAUAAGACUGGGAUAACUUCGGGAAACCGGAGCUAAUACCGGAUAAUAUUUUGAACCGCAUGGUUCAAAAGUGAAAGACGGUCUUGCUGUCACUUAUAGAUGGAUCCGCGCUGCAUUAGCUAGUUGGUAAGGUAACGGCUUACCAAGGCAACGAUGCAUAGCCGACCUGAGAGGGUGAUCGGCCACACUGGAACUGAGACACGGUCCAGACUCCUACGGGAGGCAGCAGUAGGGAAUCUUCCGCAAUGGGCGAAAGCCUGACGGAGCAACGCCGCGUGAGUGAUGAAGGUCUUCGGAUCGUAAAACUCUGUUAUUAGGGAAGAACAUAUGUGUAAGUAACUGUGCACAUCUUGACGGUACCUAAUCAGAAAGCCACGGCUAACUACGUGCCAGCAGCCGCGGUAAUACGUAGGUGGCAAGCGUUAUCCGGAAUUAUUGGGCGUAAAGCGCGCGUAGGCGGUUUUUUAAGUCUGAUGUGAAAGCCCACGGCUCAACCGUGGAGGGUCAUUGGAAACUGGAAAACUUGAGUGCAGAAGAGGAAAGUGGAAUUCCAUGUGUAGCGGUGAAAUGCGCAGAGAUAUGGAGGAACACCAGUGGCGAAGGCGACUUUCUGGUCUGUAACUGACGCUGAUGUGCGAAAGCGUGGGGA